UACAGAGGGGGCAAGCGUUGUUCGGAAUUACUGGGCGUAAAGGGCGCGUAGGCGGCCUUCUAAGUCGAACGUGAAAUCCCCGGGCUCAACCCGGGAACUGCGUCCGAGACUGGAAGGCUCGAAUCCGGGAGAGGGAUGUGGAAUUCCAGGUGUAGCGGUGAAAUGCGUAGAUAUCUGGAGGAACAUCGGUGGCGAAGGCGGGUCUCUGGGCCGAUACUGACGCUGAGGAGCGAAAGCGUGGGGAGCGAACAGG
rnacentral:rRNA from 1 species